rnacentral:rRNA from 1 species
AGAGUUUGAUCCUGGCUCAGGACGAACGCUGGCGGCGUGCUUAACACAUGCAAGUCGAGCGGAACUAUUAGCAAUAAUAGUUUAGCGGCGGACGGGUGAGUAACGCGUGGGCAACCUACCUUCAACUGGGGGAUAACACAGGGAAACUUGUGCUAAUACCGCAUAAAAUCAUAGAGCGACAUCGCUUAAUGAUCAAAGGAGUAAUCCGGUAGAAGAUGGGCCCGCGUCCGAUUAGCUAGUUGGUGAUGUAACGGACCACCAAGGCGACGAUCGGUAGCCGAACUGAGAGGUUGAUCGGCCACAUUGGGACUGAGACACGGCCCAGACUCCUACAGGAGGCAGCAGUGGGGGAUAUUGCGCAAUGGGGGAAACCCUGACGCAGCAACGCCGCGUGAAGGAUGAAGGCUUUCGGGUUGUAAACUUCUUUGAUGAGGGACGAAAGAAAUGACGNACCUCAAAAACAGCCNCGGAU